UGAAGACAUAUAUGAGGUGAGAGAGCUCACUGAAGUAAAGGAGACGCUGUCAACACUGAAGCCAUCAUCAUGUCCAAACUACCUGGGUUAACACUGCUUCUCCUGCUUGGCAUCCUCGCCAGCAUGGUUAGCAACAGCUCAGGUUUACCACAACAUGGAAGGAAUAAGUGCAAGUGCAAAAUUUUGGCCACUGGGAUGCUGUCCUGCACAAAGGGAUGCACAUGCUCAAAGCGGCACAAAGAUUUGUUGGUUUGUCUUUGCAGGGAGAAUUUCGACCAGAUAAGGAAGUUGAUAAGAAAUGCUUAUCGUUUCUGCGGUUUCCCAUCGCCUCCCCUUUAGAGGGUUUUCUUGCAGA